rnacentral:rRNA from 1 species
AGUGAACGCUGGCGGUAGGCCUAACACAUGCAAGUCGAACGGCAGCACAGUAAGAGCUUGCUCUUACGGGUGGCGAGUGGCGGACGGGUGAGGAAUACAUCGGAAUCUACUUUUUCGUGGGGGAUAACGUAGGGAAACUUACGCUAAUACCGCAUACGACCUACGGGUGAAAGCAGGGGAUCUUCGGACCUUGCGCGAUUGAAUGAGCCGAUGUCGGAUUAGCUAGUUGGCGGGGUAAAGGCCCACCAAGGCGACGAUCCGUAGCUGGUCUGGGAGGAUGAUCGGCGACACUGGAACUGAGACACGGUCCAGACUCCUACGGGAGGCAGCAGUGGGGAAUAUUGGACAAUGGGCGCAAGCCUGAUCCAGCCAUACCGCGUGGGUGAAGAAGGCCUUCGGGUUGUAAAGCCCUUUUGUUGGGAAAGAAAAGCAGCAGGUUAAUACCCCGCUGUUCUGACGGUACCCAAAGAAUAAGCACCGGCUAACUUCGUG